rnacentral:rRNA from 1 species
AGAAUCAACGCUGGCGGCGUGCCUAACACAUGCAAGUCGAACGAGAAAGUGGAGCAAUCCAUUAGUAAAGUGGCGCACGGGUGAGCAACACGUGACUAACCUACCCUUGAGUGGGGGAUAACCUAGAGAAAUCUGGGCUAAUACCGCAUAAUACCUUCGGGUCAAAGGAGCAAUUCGCUUAAGGAGGGGGUCGCGGCCGAUUAGUUAGUUGGCGGGGUAAUGGCCCACCAAGACGAUGAUCUGUA